GGUUAAGCGACUAAGCGUACACGGUGGAUGCCCUGGCAGUCAGAGGCGAUGAAGGACGUGCUAAUCUGCGAUAAGCGUCGGUAAGGUGAUAUGAACCGUUAUAACCGGCGAUUUCCGAAUGGGGAAACCCAGUGUGUUUCGACACACUAUCAUUAACUGAAUCCAUAGGUUAAUGAGGCGAACCGGGGGAACUGAAACAUCUAAGUACCCCGAGGAAAAGAAAUCAACCGAGAUUCCCCCAGUAGCGGCGAGCGAACGGGGAGCAGCCCAGAGCCUGAAUCAGU
rnacentral:rRNA from 1 species